GCCCAUUAUUCACGUUCACUGAAAAUUAUCAAAACCAGACUCUUUGACUUUUAACCAAAUAUAUUUAACAAUUUUAAAUACAUAUGUGUGCAAGUUUAAAAUUUGCAUUACGACCUUUUACGGACGUAAACACGUUCUAUCGUUUAUAUAUACGAACUAAGUUUUUUUCUCCAUUUUGAAUUUCAUUUUCAUAAUAUUUACGUUAACUUCUGACAUUUAGAUAUAGUAGAAUAUAUAUAAAAUAAUAUCUUAUUUGAGAGGUGUCAGAAUAUCAGAGGUGCGAGACGAAUGGAGGCUGAAACCAAACAAAAGUUUACUUUUGAAACACUAAAGUUUUGGUUGAACGUUGUGUACAUCUUUGAAGAUGGUAACGUUUACUAAACAAAAAUUCUACCAACAUUUUGCUUUACAAGAUAUCUUAAAGCUUGGGCAGCUCAUGAAAGUUCUAACAUCUCUCACGCUUUAUUCUAGUGAUAUUCUUUACUUAAGGAAAAAGGUUAAUAAGAUGGUACAAAGUCAAACGAUUGUUACUAGCAAAUGUUUCUAAAAUAUAUGCCUCCCUCUGUCUAGGAAGAACAAUUAACUAUAAUAUAUGCAUAGAUAUCUACCUUUACCAACAUUCCAACAACGUCCUUGUAUUAUCUUGUGGACUGUAUAAAUUGUUUUCUUUGGGGGGGUUUCAGAGUUCUGAUAUCGGUUUUCCGCUGACAAAGUUCCAUUUCAUUUGGUAGAAGCAAGACCACAAUUGAACCAUAGUGUGUACAUAAUUGAACCAUAGUGUGUACAUAGGCAUAUAGAAACAUAUGAAUGCGGAUUGUUUUUAUCUCAGCCGAUUAUCCCAUAUAUUUUUAAACGCUUUCAUAACCCAAGAGUUAAUUACGGAUUCCUAAACAGUUCUGUUACCAGAAUUUUUUUGCAAACCUUCGAAGCAGCUGAUACUGUAACGUUCGUGACGGCGGGAAUAAGAGUUUCAUUUUCAUGACCUAGUCAGUGCCAUAAAGCAAGUGUUACACCGUUAUAAAUAAAUUAAAUAUUUGCUUUUCACUGGUUAAACUUUUAAAUCAAGAACCAAACCUUGAUACUUGUGGCACGUGUUUUAUAUUCUCCAACAAAUACAACAAUUAUUCACAUUUAGUCUUUCAAUUGUGGAUUAAUCCUCGACAGGAGCGUACAGAUUUUUGUAACAUCACAUUAACCCGUCCCGUUUUAUUUGCAAUAACAGAUGACUUUGCAGUUUUUAGUAAACCAAAAUCAUGACAUGGCACAAAUAUACUCCUUUGCAAAUAGUCAGCUGAAGGUGUUAAUCUUUAUAACUUGCAUAUAAGCCAUUAAUUCAUUUUCUUAUUUUAUUUCUUCACUCAGAGAGAUAAACACAAAUGAAAAAUAGCUACGUAUUCUUGUGUUGUUCAAGUUAAGGCAGGAGCACAACUAAGGCAUUUUGUUGAUCGUAGGUAUAAUGCUUGCUUUCUUCAAUGUUCCACUAUGUCGCAAAAUGGUUGUUGAGUUUUUCCCCACAUAUACAGGAGAAGACAUACUAAGCAUUGUCAUGCACAAGGUCGUAAAAUAAGCUUUCAUGACUAAAAGUUGAAAGGCAUUAUCAGAUAGUGAUUCGUUGAAAAUAUUUCCUGAUGUUUUAUGUUUAUGAUAUUCCUUGCUUCAUACUGUUCGCCACCAUCGAUCUUCAUCCACGUUGCGGAAUGUUGGAUAAAGUGUUUUUUAAAUUUUUUUACAAAUAUGGAACUCAUUCAGUAUAUUUGUGUGUCUCACACAUAAACAUGCUUAGUAUCUGUUACAAGUUCGAAUGUAUCGUGUUCCCAUCUUCCAAUUAAAGUUUUCACAAAUUUGCAUAAAAACUUAGCGACUUUGAAAAAACGUUGUAUAUUUUUAUAUAAUGAAAUUAUUUUCCUAAAAGCAAACCUUUUUUAGCUGAAAACGUUUUUCUACUAUCAUUAGCCUCAGUCAAGAUAGAGUGUUUUCCUUUGAGAAUAUAUAGCAAAGAUCUGAAAAUCUCCGAUUAAAAUAAGAUUAAAUCUGAUACCCACAAUCAAUUUCAUAAAUAUUUUAGGUCACUUUUUUAGCCAAGUUUGCAUAAACUUUCUUGAAUUUUCUUGUAUAUCGUUGUAAUAAACAAUUUGACAUAAAUAGUUUACACCAUGUGACUGACACAAAGACUCUAGUGAA